UGAGUACGAGAUGCUACGGCAUCGAAGCAGUCUAUGUCAUACUUCCAAGAAAAGCUUGCACUGUCAGAAACAGAUAAUGCCUGUACCAUAACCGACACAGGUGGGUAGGUAGAGUAUACUAAGGGGCGCGAGAUAACUCUCUCUAAGGAACUCGGCAAAAUGACUCCGUAACUUCGGGAGAAGGAGUGCCUUAUUUUUAAGGUUGCAAUAACAAGAUCCAAGCAACUGUUUACCAAAAACACAGGUCUCCGCUAAGUCGUAAGACGAUGUAUGGGGGCUGACGCCUGCCCAGUGCCAGAAGGUUAAAGAAGUCGGUUAGCAUUCGCGAAGCUGGUAACUGAAGCCCUGGUGAACGGCGGCCGUAACGAUAACGGUCCUAAGGUAGCGAAAUUCCUUGUCGGGUAAGUUCCGACCCGCACGAAAGGCGUAAUGAUUUGGAUACUGUCUCGGAGAGGGGCUCGGUGAAAUAGACUUGUCUGUGAAGAUGCGGACUACCUGCACCUGGACAGAAAGACCCUAUGAAGCUUUACUGUAACUUGAAAUUGAAAUUGGAUUUUAUUUGCGCAGUAUAGGUGGGAGGCGUUGAAAAUAUUCUUGCGGGAAUAUUGGAGCCAUCAGUGAGAUACCACUCUUGUAAUGUUAGAUUUCUAACUUUAUAUCAUUAUCUGGUUAAAGAACAGUUUCAGGCGGGCAGUUUGACUGGGGCGGUCGCCUCCCAAAUGGUAACGGAGGCGCUCAAAGGUUUCCUCUGAACGGGUAGAAAUCGUAUCUAGAGUGUAAAGGCAUAAGGAAGCUUGACUGUGAGACCUACAAGUCGAGCAGGGACGAAAGUCGGUCUUAGUGAUCUGACGGUGCUGAGUGGAAAGGCCGUCACUCAACGGAUAAAAGUUACUCUAGGAUAACAGGCUGAUCUCCCCCAAGAGUUCACAUCGACGGGGAGGUUUGGCACCUCGAUGUCGGCUCAUCGCAUCCUGGGGCGGUAGUACGUCCCAAGGGUUGGGCUGUUCGCCCAUGAAAGCGGUACGCGAGCUGGGUUCAGAACGUCGUGAGACAGUUCGGUCCAUAUCCGGUGUAGGCGUUAGAAUAUUGAGAGGAGCCUUCUUUAGUACGAGAGGACCGAGAAGGACAUACCUCUGGUGUACCAGUUAUCGUGCCAACGGUAAACGCUGGGUAGCUAUGUAUGGAGUGGAUAACCGCUGAAAGCAUCUAAGUGGGAAGCCCACCUCAAGAUUAGUAUUCUCAUAAAAAG
rnacentral:rRNA from 1 species